GUGUCAGCCGCCGCGGUAAUACAGAGGGGGCAAGCGUUGUUCGGAAUUACUGGGCGUAAAGGGCGCGUAGGCGGCCGACUAAGUCAGACGUGAAAUCCCAUGGCUCAACCAUGGAACUGCGUCUGAUACUGGACGGCUUGAGUUCGGGAGAGGGAAGUGGAAUUCCAGGUGUAGCGGUGAAAUGCGUAGAUAUCUGGAGGAACACCGGUGGCGAAGGCGGCUUCCUGGACCGACACUGACGCUGAGGCGCGAAAGCCAGGGGAGCAAACGGGAUUAGAUACCCCGGUAGUCCUGGCCCUAAACGAUGAAUGCUUGGUGUGGCGGGUAUCGAUCCCUGCCGUGCCGAAGCUAACGCAUUAAGCAUUCCGCCUGGGGAGUACGGUCGCAAGGCUGAA
rnacentral:rRNA from 1 species